AACGAACGCUGGCGGCGUGCCUAACACAUGCAAGUCGAGCGCGAACGGCCCUUUCGGGGGGACUAGUAGAGCGGCGGACGGGUGAGUAAUACAUGGAUAAUCUCCCUUUGAGCUCGGGAUAACACUGCGAAAGUGGUGCUAAUACCGGAUAAGACCACGUGACCCAGGUCAUGCGGUAAAAGGUGGCUUUUUCUUCGGAUUGAGCUAUCACUUGAUGAUGAAUCCAUGGCCUAUCAGCUUGUUGGUGAGGUAACGGCUCACCAAGGCUAUGACGGGUAGCUGGUCUGAGAGGACGACCAGCCACACUGGGACUGAGACACGGCCCAGACUCCUACGGGAGGCUG
rnacentral:rRNA from 1 species